rnacentral:rRNA from 1 species
UACGUAGGGGGCAAGCGUUGUCCGGAUUUAUUGGGCGUAAAGAGCGUGUAGGCGGCCAGGUAGGUCAGCUGUGAAAACUCGAGGCUUAACCUCGAGACGCCGGCUGAAACCCUCUGGCUAGAGUCCGGAAGAGGAGAGCGGAAUUCCUGGUGUAGCGGUGAAAUGCGCAGAUAUCAGGAAGAACACCCGUGGCGAAGGCGGCUCUCUGGGACGGUACUGACGCUGAGAAGCGAAAGCAUGGGGAGCGAACAGG